UAUAAAAUCUCAAAAUAUUCCACUUAAAAAAAUCAUUAGGUGAAAAUAAUUUGCAUAUUUUGUGAUUUUUCCAUAAAAAAACUUAAAUCAUAAAACUUAAAUCUUUAAAAUCAUUGUAUUGACAGAUAGACCUAAUGUUGAUCUAGAGCAGGGGUCACCAACCUUUUUGAAACCAAGAGCUACUUCUUGGGUAUUGAUUAAUGCGAAGGGCUACCAGUUUGAUACACACCUGAAUAAAUUGCCAGAAAUAGCCAAUUUGCUCAAUUUACCUUUAAUAUAUAUAUAAAAAUGGGUAUUUCUGUCUGUCAUUCUGUCGUACAUUUUUUUUUCCUUUUACGGAAGGUUUUUUUGUAGAGAAUAAAUUAUGAAAAAAACACUUAAUUGAACGGUUUAAAAGAGGAGAAAACAGGAAAAAAAUGAAAAUUAAAUUUUGAAUCAUAGUUUAUCUUCAAUUUCCACUCUUUAAAAUUCAACCAAAAAAAAAGAGAAAAACUAGCUAAUUUGAAUCUUUUUGAAGAAAUUCAAAAAAGAAUUUAUGGAACAUCAUUAGUCAUUUUUCCUGAUUAAGAUUAAUUUUAUAAUUUUGAUGACAUGUUUUAAAUAGGUUCAAAUCCAAUCUGCACUUUGUUAGAAUAUAUACAAAAUUUGACCAAGCUAUAUUUCUAACAAAGACAAAUCAUUAUUUCUUCUAGAUUUUCCAGAACAAAAAACAUGUUAAAAAAAAUUCAAAAGACUUUGAAAUAAGAUUUAAAUUUGAUUCUACAGAUUUUCUAGAUUUGCCAGAAUAAUUUUUUUGAAUUUUAAUCAUAAGAUUGAAGAAAUAUUUCACAAGUAUUCUUUGUCAAAAAAACAGAAGCUAAAAUGAAGAAUUAAAUUAAAAUGUAUUUAUUAUUCAUUACAAUAAAAAAAUAAAUGUACUUGAACAUUGAUUUAAAUUGUCAGGAAAGAAGAGGAAGGAAUUUAAAAGAUAAAAAUGUAUAUGUUUAAAAAUCCUAAAGUCAUUUUUAAGGUUGUAUUUUUUCCCUAAAAUUGUCUUUCUGAAAGUUAUAAGAAGAAAAGUUAAAAAAAAAAAAAGUAAUUGAUUUAAACAAGUGAAGACCAAGUCUUUAAAAUAUUUUCUUGGAUUUUCAAAAUCUACUUGAGUUUUGUCUCUCUUAGAAUUAAAAAUGUCGAGCAAAGCGAGACCAGCUUGCUAGUAAAUAAAUACAAUUUAAAAAAUACAGACAGCUCACUGGUAAGUGUUGCUAUUUGAGCUAUUUUUAGAACAGGCCAACGGGCGACUCAUCUGGUCCUUAUGGGCUACCUGGCGCGUUGGUGACCCCUGAUCUAGUUUUUCAAAAUUUGAAUAAUAAUAAAAAAAUAAUACUUAAUAAUGACACAUUUUUAAUGUUUUUUUGACCAAAACGCUUUGGGAUCCCUAGGAUCAAACCUGAGUGGAGGCCGACAUUUAUAUUUUUUAUACAUAUGUUGAAUUGUUUUUUUAAAAUAAAGAUUAUCAAAAUGUCCCCCGCUUGCUUUGAUUUUUCAGUGUGCGGCCCUCAGUAGAUAAAGUUUGGACACCCCUGAUUUAGGAUUAAAAACUAUACCCAGUUAAAGUAUGUGAUGCGGCUCUUCCGCCAAUCAAAUAGUUCCACCCACAAGCUGAAACAGUGCAGUGGCCACGCGGAGGGAUACAUUUGGCCGUGGCAACUUCACAGACGUCAAUCAACGCCGGCCGGUGUGUCACCUCAAGUGAAAUGUUGAGGAUAAUUGUAGUAUUUUAACUUUAGAAAGGUGAUUUAAGUUGUAGAUAAUGCUUGUUGUCAUAACCGUCCUUAGGAAUCGUUACGCCGGCAGAAGACGUGUCAGUUCUUUCCUUACUGGCCGCGUUCACACAACAGGCUUGGACCAGGAUUGAGUGUGCUCCUUCGACGCAGCGGGAUUACAGGACGAGCCAGGCGUGAAUUAAGUUUUCCAGCCUGCUCAGCGGCUCCUCCUGGCAGGAUCUUGGACAAGACGCUGUCUCCCUCCAUGCCCGGCUGACCCGGAGCCGCACUGCCUAUCCCUCCCGGCCUCGGAGCAGCUUUGGAGCCUGCACGGGAUGAUUAAGACAAUGAGGAUGAGGCCAGAAAGGUGGGAGGAAAGGAACAGAUGAUGAUCAUCAGACAGCUUCAUCAUCAACACUUUGCAGCUGACAGAUGUAGAAAGAUUCAAAUUGUCAAGGCGUGGACUGUGGUGCAGUUUGUUUUCUCGUGGUGCAACGCGACUGGACCGGACACGACGUGAAGGACAGCACGGCCACCGACGGCUGUGUGCAAUGUGGUAGAAGAGGAAGGAGGAGAUAAGACAUCUGUCCACGCAGGACUCUGAUGCAGACCUGUUUGCAAAGGUCAGUCCAAACAGUCUUAUCAGACUGAGGCAGCAGCCAGCCAACCUUUGAAUAU